GAUGAACGCUGGCGGCGUGCCUAAUACAUGCAAGUCGAGCGAACGGACGAGAAGCUUGCUUUUCUGAUGUUAGCGGCGGACGGGUGAGUAACACGUGGAUAACCUACCUAUAAGACUGGGAUAACUUCGGGAAACCGGAGCUAAUCCCGGAUAAUAUUUUGAACCGCAUGGUUCAAAAGUGAAAGACGGUCUUGCUGUCACUUAUAGAUGGAUCCGCGCUGCAUUAGCUAGUUGGUAAGGUAACGGCUUACCAAGGCAACGAUGCAUAGCCGACCUGAGAGGGUGAUAGGCCACACUGGAACUGAGACACGGUCCAGACUCCUACGGGAGGCAGCAGUAGGGAAUCUUCCGCAAUGGGCGAAAGCCUGACGGAGCAACGCCGCGUGAGUGAUGAAGGUCUUCGGGUCGUAAAACUCUGUUAUUAGGGAAGAACAUAUGUGUAAGUAACUGUGCACAUCUUGACGGUACCUAAUCAGAAAGCCACGGCUAACUACGUG
rnacentral:rRNA from 1 species